AAUGUAUGGUUUUUAUUAGUAACAGUCCUCUCUGAUAUAUCCAACCUGUGUAUCCUGGACAUUUUGUCCUAGGAUCUUUCUUUUUCUUUGCAAGUGUAUAUUCAGAGUUACCCCCUUUUUGGAUAUAUCCAGGGCACACUUUAUAGUUCCUAUUUCAGGGCUAUUUCUGCUUUUUUUUUUUUUUGUGAAUAAGUGCACAAAAGGUUGCCAUUUUUAAGCUUGCUGAUUUCAAC